GUGACCGCGCUCCCCUCCCCCGCCCGGCGGGCUGGGGCCGGCGCUAGGGCCAGGGCCAGGGCCAGGACCGGGCCAUCUGCGGCCGUGGGUCAUGGGGCGCCGGGGCUCCCUACGCGUGGGGCGGGCGGCGAGGGGCCGCCCGGGUUCCCAGCCUGUCAGGCGGGAGCGGGGAGGCGCCGCGCCGCGAUCAACGACUUGCAGGCAGCCCUCGCGGGGAUGUGCGACCUAUUUCUAAACUGCCGGUGAAGGAGAUUUCGCAGCCCCUCAGAGGUCCCAGGAAGCUGCGGCUGCUUUUGUUGGGCAUGUGUGCAGGCGUGCCGUGGGGUAUGCAGAAAAGGGAGUUUUGCCCUUGCUGGGGACUAAGGCGGCCUUCUGGGUCUGGAAACAAAUGCCAGGUGUUGUCAGAAAGGUGGGACUCUUUUUCCAGUGGGUUGUUGCUCUGAUAUGAUGAGGGCUCUGACUUUCUAGGGCAGCGUAGGUGCUUAUCUUUCCUAAGUGUAACAGCCUAUCCUGCUUUCCCCAGUACAGGAAAGUGAUUGCAUUCUGUCUCUGGGAGACGUGAAGAGCAGUUGAUUGUUGCCUUUGUUCUAACAGCCUUUUAAUCUGCUUGAAGACUGUUUGUCAUGGGCCUACUGGCCUGUUUUUUUUUUUCCCUCCUAGAAAAAAGAGUUUCUUCGGAUCAUGUCUUCUAAAUCUUUUUUUCUUACUGCUUUCUCCUCAAGCUUCUCCUUGCCUGACCCAGCUCAGAAGUGAGGUGCUGCACUUCCCUGCUGCAUCCCGUGCACAGCCUGCUGCAAAUUUGCCCUUCUCUCUUCUGCAGCUGUGCUGUGUUAACUCUCCAUGCCAGUAACAGACAUUUGUAUUUGUCAUUUGGCAUCUCUGCUGGGGCAGUUCAGAUUUUUGUAGUACAAGGGUGCCCGCAGUAACUUUCCUCCCUUUCUGAAGGCAGGUGCAUCGUUUAUCUUUCUUCUGUCACCUGAGAGCACUCUUCUUGCCUGGAUUUGGAAGGUACUUGCUAGGGGUUCAGAGAUGCCUUGGGAGAAUUUCUAGAGCUUUCUGGUAUGAUGGAGAUACUCGUUAGCUUUUUCUUCUGCCUGUUCUCUGCUUGAUUUGCUUCCCUACUUCAGACUUGUCUGUGUCUGUCUCUCAUUUCUAGAGGUGGUUUUGAUGCCUUGUACCAUUCUGAUGCUUUGAACCCUCUUGGCUCGGAGGGAUUUCAGUUAUGAGCCAUGCUGAUUUCAUCCCUGAAGGCUUGUGCUAACCUAUUAUUCUCAUCUGUAAUUUCAUCUAUCUAUCAUUGUUCCUAAUUUCCUCUCCAGUCUCACAAGCCCUCUACUGACAGUGUUUUUCUCUCUACACUGUUUUUCUAUUAAAUAAAGAGAGUAAGUUGGAACAUGUGUAGAGGUACUGCAGUUUCAAAGGUGGGUCCUAGAACUAGGUGCAUAAACUUAGAUCUGGCCGUGGUAGGCUCACCUACUCCUCCCUAAGCAAAAAGUUUAAUACUUUAAUGAUCUUAAAUGAAGAUAAUUAAAGAAUGAGAUAAUUAAAUAACAUUUUAAAGGUAGGUAAUUAGUACCCUGCUAAUUUCUUCAGUUUUGUUUCCUGUAAAGUGAAGCAGUCAUGCUGCCUGCUCUCGACAGAGAUCUGCUAGCACUGGGGGCAUGGUGGAGAGGCGGUCAGAGAGCUGCAGAGGGACGGCUGGAGCUCACUUUCUUUGCUUUCAGACACACUGACCACUCCUUGCAGCAGACCUCUCAGCUCUGAUUCAUACCCUCUGUGGUUUCAAUCUGCAUGGUAGAGACGAAGGCUUGAUUGCCAUGCAAAACUCUGAGCCCUGGUUCCUUGCUGACCAGACUCUGUGCCUGACUGGACUGGGCUGGUCUCAAGUCUGGGAACACUUAUCCAGAAGGGCAAACUCAUGACUAAGAGUUUAUUUCCAUGCCUGUUGUGCAUGAUGAUCUGUAACCAGCUUUUUUUUCCCCCCUUUCUAGAAGACCAGAUGCUUCUGGAAGGAUCGAGUGGUUGGUGAUUAAAGUAAUACAUGAGCUAGCUUAAUGCCCCUGCUGUUUCUGUUGGGAUUUGGCUAGGAAAAUACGUAACAGCAGUGGUCUUAGGGAUAGGUAACACAGGUUUUGUUGUAUUUUGUGCCACAACACUGCUGAGAGAUUACAGACUUGGUGACGGGGGAGCUGGUGGUUGACUGUGUGGUUCCACUCAGGAGAUGAGGCAGCUGGGCCUGUGUCUGAGCUCCGUGUCCUCAGCUCCUGUCAAGCAGUCACUGAUAUUCAGGUGCGUCCUAGCCUGGUGGCUCUUGGUUCUGCUUCUCCUGCUCCAUGGGAGAACCCUUUGCCCUCCAGAGCUGGCCGCUUGUCCUCCCUGCCACCACUCCCAGCCUCCUGCUCCAGCAGGUUUCAGGGAGCUGCUCGCUGCCCAGAGAGCUCAGCGGUUAAAUAACUAAUGAAUCAGAGGUAUGAUAUGUUUAUUACUCAGUUUAUUAUGCUGAUGAUUUGAGUAGCUGAGUUUAGGCCAAACCACCUCCUCAUGACCUGCGAGAAGGAAGGAGAGAAGGUUUCCUGCUCCCUGCUGUACUGAAUGUGCUUUUCUCUGCUGUUUUGGGUGCUGGCUUUCCUAAGCCGUGUGUGACCAUGCCAGUGUGACAAUAAUGACGGUGGUUUUGAAAGAAACAGAAGUUACUGACGAUGCACAAAGCUGUUUUGCACACUUACUGCUUUGUCCCUGGGAUUUGGCAAGAACAGUGAUUUAGCUCCAAAGUAUGAAUCAAUGUUUGCUUGGCGUCCCUCGGGGUGAUUCAAAAGUCCCAAUAGCCUGCCGUAGAAAAUAAAAUCCUUCUGAAAAUAGAAACGAAAGAUGCAAUUAAUUUUAGGUACAUGUGACUGAGAGAAAAGAGAAGUUUCUUCUGAAAGCAAUCCCAUGCACAUCUGGCUGGUGUUUCCACUAGCUGGAAGCAGUGAGCAAGGGGAGAGAAGGGGUCCACACCAGAGGCUGCAUAGACUGCAAGAAAUGCUGUUUUAACUUUUUGACCUGGUCUUACCCUGGAGAUGCUAAUGUUUCAAACAUCCUGGUCAGUGGACAUUGUUCAUCAUUUUCCGAUGCUGUGGAAAUCCCAGGCCCAGCAGAACUGUGUUACUUAUUAAAGAACAUAUACAUAUGACUCACGUUUUUCCAGUGUGUAGUAAAACCAGUGACUUCCACAAACUCCGCUUCCUUGUGAUUAAUAAUGAGCUGAGGAUGAUCUUUCCACCGCCUUGGUCAGGCAGCUCCUCCCAGCUGGUCAUCCUUAAGCCAGGAAAGUGCUUGUGCUGCCUUUGGUGCUGCUGCCCUAAUGCUCCCAGCAUUUUCAGCUUGAAAAAGCAUGAUCUGAAAGGAAACUAUGAUCCUGGGGGAGAUGGACACUAAUGACUGAAAUACCGCAGUGGAUUAACAGGAAAAAAAACGUGGCAGUUUGCCUCUGCACAGGGCGGAUGGCUGUGAGCGCUGUGGUUUCUAACUUCACAGUGCACGCACAUCCCAGCAGCUUCUGAUUUCUCCCACUAGUGAAGCCAUCGAUAGGGGUGGUGGCUCCUGGCUACUUUUUCGUGGGAUGCCCCUUUGCCCUGCCCACAUCCCCAGGAGCCCUUCACCUCCCCACCGUUGCCCUGUUGUGGGUCAUCCUCUCUCCCCAGGCAGCGGGGGGUGGAAGUGCUCGCUUGCUCUCACCUCAGUUUUGGGCACCUGGGAAGAAGCUGGGAGGCAGGACUCGGUGGCAAACAUGGGAUCUUGGUAGGCUUAAGGAGGCUGCCCCAAAACAGGUUCACCUGAGGUGACAGCAGGGCAGAGGAUGGAUGUUUGAAAUGGGCAGUGUUGCUAUAGGUAGCUGAGAUGAUGGCUUUCCAAGGCACUUGGCUCUGAUUUCUUGAGAGUGUCUCAGAAAGCGGAGCUUUGCCACUUUAACCCCGUACCUGUCUCACUGAGAAAUAAGUAGCAGUAAGUCUGGGCAGCAGCUGGUAAAGUCUUCCACACAGCUAAGAAGGAGAGGGGGCACGACAGCGGCACUUCUGACAUCUCCUUAAGUAAACACGCAUGUCGCUUUGUCUCGGAUAUGAAUGUGCACUGCAGGUGAUUAAACAGUGUACUUCAUAUUUAGAAGUGGUUGUCUGCCUGUUGAGUCAAAAUUUCCAAGACUUCUAUAUGUGGCAGCCAGCUUUUGGCUUGGCUUGCUCAGUAACUCUCUGGAUCUACUUUCUGACACCUCAUAAUUUUUGGAAUAAUUAUUUAUGCUCCAAAGACCUACUACCUAGCUUCUUGGGGCAAAGCCAUUUUAAUUUCCUUUAUAAUGCUAGCGACGCUGAAGGGAAUUGGUGUGUAAAUAGCUUUCCUUAGAGCCACUGCAGCUGCUGGUGCUCACCUGUGUCUGAGGAAGGGGAGGGUAAUUCAUUGCCGUUUAGCACACGGGGGGAAAUAGUUCUAUUCAACCCUUUGUCUGCUGAGAGACAGAAAUGGGCACAUUGUCCAUUUAGGACGUGGGUGUGACCAUCAGCGUUUUGGUGGUAGCUUCUGAACAGCUAUCAGAUGCUGACAUGAUUUUCAGAGGGCUCUGGAAAGGUCAGGCUCUGCAAGGCCUGGCAGGGCUGCCAUGUCCCCCUGACCUGCUGGCAGGUACUGGAGCCCUUGGUGAUGCAGGAGCCGCUCACCUGCCUCUGCCGCGAGCACGAGCCAGGCGGGAGGCAGGUAGGGUGAGCGCUGUGAAAAGCCUGGGGUUUGCACAGCAGCACCGAGUGAUGCUUUUCCAGAGCCCAGGUCGGCGGAGGUGCUGACCCUGUGGAGCUCCUGGUAGCAAUGUGCUUUCUGGCACAUUUAGAGGCAGGGGGAGGGGGGCCAGGGCUGCCUGUUAGCCUGGUCACUGCACCUGAUGCCCAGUCGGAGGUGGUCUGCAAACCCUGCUGGUUGCCAUGAGCUCCAAGGGGCAGAAGAUGCAGCCUCUUUCCCAGUGACUGUGUUGGGGGUGAGAAUAUCUUAGGCUAAGAUAAGGAGAGUUUUCUUGGUGUAAGCAUCAUUUUUCCUUCCUUCUUUCCUUCCUCUUCAAGGUGCAAGCAGACCUCUUUUGGGAGGAGUGUGGCCUCAGAUUGGUUUAGUGUCUUCCAUUGUGUUGGAGGAAGCACAAGUUUUAUGGACAGGUUGCGGAGGACUUUCUUCCUACCCUCCCCUUGUGUUCCCUGCCUUGGGGAGAUCUGGCUGGGAUCCACUUCUCUUCCCCCUUUCAGCAGGUUGCCAAAUGAUGUCUUUGAUUCCUGCACCAUGAAAACAACCUGCAAGCAGAGGCUGAAAUUCUGGCUUGCCGGGGUGGUGAGCCUGAGCUGGGAGGAGAGGGGAAGAGCAAAAAGGUCCAUGCCAAAGAGCUUUAACUCUAGUUUUUGUACAGUUUUGAAUUAUUUUGUUAUAAAACCGCACUCUGGCAUUGCUAAGGGGUGGCAAAGGAGCUUCCCUGCUCCUGCCCUCAGGCACUGGCCAUACAGCUGUUGUCUGGGGUGGAGACUAUCUGCCUGGCUUUAAAGGUCUCUGCCAGCCGACUGCGGCGUGGCCCCCAACAAACCCUGCCACUGGGUGUCUCGGCAUGUGUUGCAUGUGCAGAUGGUGUUGCACAUUAGCAGGCUUGAGACUGAGAAGUGAGGUGUGAUAGGGACCACCUGGGGACCCAACCACCCCACCACCUGUCUGUUGAAGCCCUCCAGAUCACCCGGGGUCCAGUUUCCAGUCCCAUCUGAGCAGGCUCAGCUAUUUUUCCCGUGGUGGGGGCACAAUGCUUAUACCCUGCCUGAUCUAAACAGUUAUACAUCGGAGUCCCAGAGUUUUCCUGAGUAACUGGAUUUCGGAAGCUGUUCUGCAGAUCACACUUGGGGUAUUUAUGUACUGAGCUACAUUGCAGCUGUUUGGGCUCCUCUUGAAAAGCAAGGUGAUGGGUACUGAUGGAGGGCUAUUGUCUCUGACAUGGAGGUGCUGAGGAUCCUUGGCUGGGCACUAUGCUUCUCACGUAAAAUGAUGUUAAUGUUCAUCUUGGGAAAUAAAUACAACUUCUGUUUGUCAUGCUUUA